CAAACACUACGACCGUCGGUCUACCGAGCAAUAUCACCCGCUCGGUGGAAGAUCUUCCCUUUGUCGU
rnacentral:pre_miRNA from 1 species